ensembl:lncRNA
CCCGGCCCCGCCGCUCGCCCGGGCCCGGCCGACAGAGCCCGGUGGUAUUUUUAGAGGCAGACACAGCAGUGCUGCCUCCUGACACGCUCUGCGUUCUGUCUCCAGAUGGCCCCAGAUUUCUAUAUGUGAAAAUAAAUAGCCAAAAAAAAAAAAAAAAGUUGUUCUCACUCCACAACCGACAAAGGGCGAUUUAUUCCUCUUCUCCCCCCUUUCUCCGCCCCGCACGUAAGGGCGCUUGGGCGAGUUGCACGCAAAUAAACCCGCAACAGGCUCCUGAAGAGGGCAGCACGUUCUAGAUGUUAUUGAACUGCUCCUUUAAGCACUAGAAGGCUGCAGUGAGAUCUCCCCAGAGCCUUCCUUUCUCCAGACUGAAUUCCCUCAGCCUGUGUUCCUUAGGAGAGGUGCUCCAGCCCUCUGAGCAUCCCCACAGCCUCCUUUGGGUCCUCCUGUGACAAUACUGUUUCCUAAUCCAUCAGCAAAGCUUCUAUAUUUUGAGGGUUGUUCUGAAAGAGAAACUACAGGUUACAGAAUCUCCAGUGCUCUUUUCCCAUCAGUACUUAUGGAGAUGUACUCAAAAUCCCUCUGAAAUCAGUGGGUCUAAUCGUACACAUAAAAAUUGUGUUUGCUGGACUGGUC